GUGCUUCACCCGAGGGACGCAGAGCUUAAGCGAAAGCGGUGCAGGCAUCUCUCUAAUCGCCGGCCUCUAUUAAAAAUAAAACCGCGACCCGUCGCCAUGGCGACCACAACAACAGCGGCCGAGCGAGGGAGGCGAAAACUUGUGCAGCCGCGCGACAGCCACGUUCUGGGGAGACGCGGGGCACGGCGCGCCCGGCGUGGGACAGGGACCCCCCCCUGCCCGGCCCCGCCCCAUCCUCCGCCGGAUCCCGGAAGAAACAAGAAGACGUGGACCCCCACAGGCUUUUUGGGGGAAUUGGGCGUUGAAACCGCAGGGCCGACUUAACCAAGAGGUCGCCGACUUGGAUAAAAAUCCACGCCCGCGGGGAGCACCCUCCCCGGCCUUCGUUUCCAUUCAGACUCCCAGCGUCCUCACUGCAGCCCCUGGAGAGCGGGCGGAGGGAGAAAGUGCGUUUCAGGCGCUCGACCCAGGAGGGGACGAUGCGACCCGGGCCUCGCCGGCGGGUUUUGGCCGCGGAAGCUGCAGCACCUGCCCCGCCCGCCCUGCCGCGAUCCUUGCAGAUGGGGGCGGUCACAUGCUUCUUUUUGGCCGGGAAUCGAGUUUCACUUCCAGCCGCUAUUAGUCGGUUCGCACAGUUCACUGCAAACAUUUGAUAAUGAGGCUAAAUAUACUCCCGCGUCGGAGGAGGCGUGGGCGGCCAGAUCGCGUGGGCACUGCGCUCGGAGCUCCGCCGGGCGUCCCCUCCCAGGCCCAGGAGACAGAGGCGCGGAUCCCGGGACGGAGGCUGGCUUUGUGCGGGAGGGAGACGCGCGCCGCGCGCCGCCCCCCGAAACAUUCCCACCCCAGGUUGCGGCGCGCGUCUGGGAGGCCGUGGGCGCCCCGAGGCACUCACACAUCAACGCGAAGCGGGGACUUGCAGGGGUGCUGAGCACCCCAGGGACACCUCUGCAACGUCGAAGUGAAGUUGAAAAUAGCACACAAGCCCACAAUCGUUGUGUGAACAUUUUGUGAAUGAAGACAUGCAUGAAAGGACAUUUGGCAGCUUCAAGAAACAAAAGCCGAGAGUCUAGCUAGACCAGGGCCAUCCAGCCCAGGAGCGAUGGCCACGCGUGGCCGCUGGGCACGAGAGAUGUGGCCGGUCCAAACUGCACACUACAGUAAGUGCAGAAUGCAUACCAGGUUUCAAAUGCUUAGUAAAGAAUGCAAAAUUUCUCAAUUGGGAAUUUUUGUAUGAAUUUCAGGUUGAAAAAACAUUUUGGAUACAUGGAGUUAAAUAAACAUGAUUACAAUGAA